GACGAGCAACUCCUUAAAAUGUGAUCAGAGGGCACACGUUUUUCACGGUGAUUCCUUGGUGAUUCCUUGGCGAUUCUGUGGUUACGUGAAAAAUAAAUGACCAAAAGAUCA